GACGAACGCUGGCGGCGUGCCUAAUACAUGCAAGUUGAGCGCUGAAGGUUGGUACUUGUACCAACUGGAUGAGCAGCGAACGGGUGAGUAACGCGUGGGGAAUCUGCCUUUGAGCGGGGGACAACAUUUGGAAACGAAUGCUAAUACCGCAUAAAAACUUUAAACACAAGUUUUAAGUUUGAAAGAUGCAAUUGCAUCACUCAAAGAUGAUCCCGCGUUGUAUUAGCUAGUUGGUGAGGUAAAGGCUCACCAAGGCGAUGAUACAUAGCCGACCUGAGAGGGUGAUCGGCCACAUUGGGAAUGAGACACGGCCCAAACUCCUACGGGAGGCAGCAGUAGGGAAUCUUCGGCAAUGGACGAAAGUCUGACCGAGCAACGCCGCGUGAGGGAAGAAGGUUUUCGGAUCGUAAAACUCUGUUGGUAGAGAAGAACGUUGGUGAGAGUGGAAAGCUCAUCAAGUGACGGUAACUACACAGAAAGGGACGGCUAACUACGUG
rnacentral:rRNA from 1 species